UGGGGAAUAUUGCACAAUGGGCGCAAGCCUGAUGCAGCCAUGCCGCGUGUAUGAAGAAGGCCUCCGGGUUGUAAAGUACUUUCAGCGGGGAGGAAGGGAGUAAAGUUAAUACCUUUGCUCAUUGACGUUACCCGCAGAAGAAGCACCGGCUAACUCCGUGCCAGCAGCCGCGGGAAUACGGAGGGUGCAAGCGUUAAUCGGAAUUACUGGGCGUAAAGCGCACGCAGGCGGUUUGUUAAGUCAGAUGUGAAAUCCCCGGGCUCAACCUGGGAACUGCAUCUGAUACUGGCAAGCUUGAGUCUCGUAGAGGGGGGUAGAAUUCCAGGUGUAGCGGUGAAAUGCGUAGAGAUCUGGAGGAAUACCGGUGGCGAAGGCGGCCCCCUGGACGAAGACUGACGCUCAGGUGCGAAAGCGUGGGGAGCAAACA
rnacentral:rRNA from 1 species